CCUACGGGGGGCAGCAGUGAGGAAUAUUGGUCAAUGGGCGCGAGCCUGAACCAGCCAAGUAGCGUGAAGGAUGACUGCCCUACGGGUUGUAAACCUCUUUUAUAAAGGAAUAAAGUGAGGCACGUGUGCCUUUUUGUAUAUACUUUAUGAAUAAGGAUCGGCUAACUCCCUGCCAGCAGCCGCCGUAAUACGGAGGAUCUGAGCGUUUACCGGAUUUAAUGGGUUUAAAGGGAGCGUAGAUGGGUUGUUAAGUCAGUUGUGAAAGUUUGCGGCUCAACCGUAAAAUUGCAAUUGAUACUGGCAGUCUUGAGUACAGUUGAGGUAGGCGGAAUUCGUGGUGUAGCGGUGAAAUGCGUAGAUAUUAGGAGGAACACCAGUGGCGAAGGCGGCUUACUGGACUGUAACUGACGUUGAGGCUCGAAAGCGUGGGGAGCAAACAGGAUUAGAUACCCCUGUAGUC
rnacentral:rRNA from 1 species